rnacentral:rRNA from 1 species
AACGAACGCUGGCGGCAGGCCUAACACAUGCAAGUCGAGCGAGAUCUUCGGGUCUAGCGGCGGACGGGUGAGUAACGCGUGGGAAUAUGCCCUUCUCUGCGGAAUAGCCUCGGGAAACUGAGCGUAAUACCGCAUACGCCCUUUGGGGGAAAGAUUUAUCGGAGAAGGAUUAGCCCGCGUUGGAUUAGGUAGUUGGUGGGGUAACGGCCUACCAAGCCGACGAUCCAUAGCUGGUUUGAGAGGAUGAUCAGCCACACUGGGACUGAGACACGGCCCAGACUCCUACGGGAGGCAGCAGUGGGGAAUCUUAGACAAUGGGGGCAAACCUGAUCUAGCCAUGCCGCGUGAGUGAUGAAGGCCUUAGGGUUGUAAAGCUCUUUCAGCUGGGAAGAUAAUGACGGUACCAGCAGAAGAAGCCCCGGCUAACUACGUG